AGAAUCAACGCUGGCGGCGUGCCUAACACAUGCAAGUCGAACGAGAAAGGGGUAGCAAUACCCUGAGUAAAGUGGCGCACGGGUGAGUAACACGUGACUAACCUACCCUUGAGUGGGGGAUAACUGAGGGAACCUUAGCUAAUACCGCACAAUACCCACGGGUCAAAGGAGCAAUUCGCUCGAGGAGGGGGUCGCGGCCGAUUAGCUAGUUGGCGGGGUAAUGGCCCACCAAGACGAUGAUCGGUA
rnacentral:rRNA from 1 species